AAAAUUAUCCUCCAAUAUAAUUAAUGAUGUGAAAAAGGAUUAUUUCAAUGGCUUAGACAAUAUACAAGAAAUAUUGAUGUCUGGAAAUAAAUUAACGUUUGUUGACGGAGAAACGUUUCAAGAUAUGAAGAACUUAACUGUUCUUAAUCUUGACGUAUAUUGUGACUGCAACAUAAAGACGUUCCUGAAUUGGCUAAAUGUUGUCGAAAAGUACGAGUCCACUAUUAAUUGUGUUGAUUACAACGAUGCUCCUCUGACAACUUUGCCUUCCUGUUUUUUCGACAAAUGCAAUGGACCUCAAUGUUCGACGAUUGUAUGCAACCAGAACGAUUGCUAUUAUAACUAUACUGGAGAAGUGAUAUGCAGGAACGAACAAGACAUCAAGUGCACUGGUACGGGUUAUUGUGUUUGUUGAUUUCCUUAUAUAAAACACAUUUGUUGAGGGACGACUUACAUGGCCAAAAAAAAGUAAAAAGGACAACGAAAUGUCUGACAAAAAUGGUUACAGGGACAACAUACCUUGAAAAUGACUAGGAGGAGAAAUACGAAAAAACGUUACAAUACAUGUCUGAAACUUUAUUGUAUGCAAAGGAACAUGUAAACUAAUUCGUGGACAGUCUUAUUUCCCCCCCGAUUUUAUACAUGAUAUUUGUGAAAAAAAUAUUAUAUUGAAUUGAAACAGAUAAACUGAUGUCUAUCAUUUAGCAAUGUAUAUCCGUAUAUUCAUAAAUGUAUUUUUUAAAAAUACAUUUAAGUGUAACAGAUGCAUUGGAAUUGGUUUUAUAUAAUGACUUUUUUUAUGUACAUGUAUUUUAUUUUCAUAUUUUGCUUUGUAAGUUUGUCUGGUAAUAUUUCAUCAGUAUGACGAUAUAUGUACAUGUAGGUUACCAGUAGCUCAAAAGAGGGACGAAAGAUACCAGAGGGACAGUCAAACUCAUUAAUCGAAAAUAAACUGACAACGCUAUGGCUAAAAAUGAAGAAAAAAAAGACCAAACAGACACUUGAGUCGCUUUAGUGUAGUCACAUGUUGUCUAUAUUUUCGAAGGUACAUAGAAAACGGCGGAAAGAAAAACUGUUUAUACACGGUUAUUUCUAGAAUAUCUGAAGACAGAUAUAUUGUGUGAUUGUCAUACUAGUGGUAAAAGUUUUAAAUACAUGUAUGUAUGAUCGAUCAUUUGAAUAAAAUACACAGGAAGUAUACGAACAAAUAAUAAGCCAUAAUAAUAAUUGAAAUAACUGCUAAAAUGUUUUUUAUUAUCAAAGUGCCAAUAUGAAACCUAUAAAUUUCUAACGAAAAGAAAAUGAUAUCAAAAAAGAAAAUAUAAUUAAGGAACUGAAGAUUUUGAUAAAAAUAUGGCCAGAAAGUUAUAGCAUUCGUAUGAUGUAAAUACAGGAUAUACCGACCCAAAGAAUAAUGUCAAUCUCUAACUUCGUCCUCAGUUAAUAUACUUCCGUCAGGUCAUAUAUCCUUGUAUCGACCUCAUAUAAAAGGUAUAAUUGUUUAUUAUUAUUAGAAUAUAUAAUCACUAAGAUACUGAACUCAGGGGUAAAUCUAAUCGGAAAGUCCAUAAUCACUUGGCAAAAUCAAAUGACAAAACACAUCAAAAAACGAAUGGGAUUCCUGACUUGGUACAAGCAUUUUAAAAUGUAAAAAAUGGUGAAUUAAACCUGACUUUAAAGCGCUAAACCUAUCACUUUGAUGACAGUCUCAUCAAAUUUCGUUAUAUUUACAAUGAUGCGUGAACUAAACAGGCAUACUAAAUAAAAUAGUAAAACUAUGGGUACCGCAGUCAUCAUCGAUUAUAUAGAAUUUAUGAGAAUCCACAUGUAGUUCGUUCCACUACGCGAUUGAAUAAUUUUGACGUUUGUGGUUCAACGUAUUUUCUAAUUCAUAAUAGAAAUAUAUCAUAAUGACAUAUACAAGAACAAUAUCAUACUGACGGGAUAUUUUAAAGUACACAGUCACUUUAUAAGAUCCAACGAAACACAAACAAGUCGCUUAAUAUACAAAACACAUCAGCUAAAAAUGAAAGAUAAUACAAACACAUUGACGGGAUGUCUAAGUACCGAGCCACGUUAAAUGAAACAAUAGUAGUAGUAGUGGUAGAAGUAGUAUCACUUGUUAUCGAUACGAACAGUGAUACCCAUUUCACAGUGUUAACAUAAAUUAUUAAAGUUGGGCCAUUCUUCCGAAUAACAAUUAUAUGACAAAUAUAUGCAUACCGUAAUAUAUUAGUGUUGUGUAUGUAUAAGUUAAAUAAAAAGACACAAUAAACAAUUAUAAAAAAAAUGUUGACAGUGCUAUCAAAACCAAACAAAUAAAUAUACAAAUGUCUAUCAG